rfam:Populus trichocarpa scaffold_19_contig_205, whole genome shotgun sequence.
UAAUCUGUCUGGAGCAUAUUCUCAUUUAGUUAUAACAGACUCAUAUUUCUUAAAAUCAACCGUUAUCCCUCAAUUAUAUUAAAGAGCAGGUUCAAUGA